GAUUAGAGUUUGAUCCUGGCUCAGAUUGAACGCGGGCGGCAUCCUUUCCCCAUGCAAGUCGAACGGCAGCACGGGGGCAACCCUGGUGGCGAGUGGCGAACGGGUGAGUAAUGCAUCGGAACGUCCCAGUCGUGGGGGAUAACCGCAGCGAAAAGUUGUGUUAAUCCCGCAUACGACCUGAGGGUGAAAGCGGGGGACCGUAAGGCCUCGCGCGAUUGGAGCGGCCGAUGUCUGAUUAGCUAGUUGGUGGGGUAAAGGCCCACCAAGGCGACGAUCAGUAGCGGGUCUGAGAGGAUGAUCCGCCACACUGGGACUGAGACACGGCCCAGACUCCUACGGGAGGCAGCAGUGGGGAAUUUUGGACAAUGGGGGCAACCCUGAUCCAGCCAUGCCGCGUGCGGGAAGAAGGCCUUCGGGUUGUAAACCGCUUUCGGACGGAAAGAAAUCGCAUGGACUAAUACUCUGUGUGGAUGACGGUACCGUAAGAAGAAGC
rnacentral:rRNA from 1 species